CCUCGCCCUCGCGUACACAGGCGGCGGCGGCGGCGGCGGCGGCGGCAGGGCACCGGCCGCCGGACGCCGCAGGCCACGAACCCCGAGUCCUUUGGUGAUGACGCGAUGCACGCGAGCGACGCCGCACGCCGUCGGCCGGUCCAGCGCUCCGUAAUUUGGCAACCUUUCCAAUCUUGAGUCCUCGUUUCCAUGCGUAUCAAAGGCCACAAUGAAAAGCAUCAUCACAGGAUGUUCCGGAACACAUAAAUAGGGAAGAGGAGAUUCAAUAUCAUCCGGGCAAGAGAAAAUUGAUCAAACGUACUAAAGGUAAUUUCCAAUUUUUUAGCCAUUUAAAUACUUUCAUGGACAUUUUAUUAUGUUUUACUAGAAAGUUUAAUUCCAUUUUUAUCUUGUACAUUAUGUGCCCUGCUGUCGGAUGAUGUAUUCUGGAAUUUCAAAAUGCAAGACAACCUUUUCAAGUAA